CUACGGGACGCUGCAGUGAGGAAUAUUGGUCAAUGGGCGCAAGCCUGAACCAGCCAUGCCGCGUGCAGGAUGACUGCCCUAUGGGUUGUAAACUGCUUUUCUGAGGGAAGAAACACUCCGACGUGUCGGAGCUUGCCGGUACCUCAGGAAUAAGCAUCGGCUAACUCCGUGCCAGCAGCCGCGGUAAUACGGAGGAUGCAAGCGUUAUCCGGAUUUAUUAGGUUUAAAGGGUGCGUAGGCGGGAUGUUAAGUCAGUGGUGAAAUCUUGCCGCUUAACGGUAAAAUUGCCAUUGAAACUGACAUUCUUGAGUAUAGUUGAGGUGGGCGGAAUGUGUAGUGUAGCGGUGAAAUGCUUAGAUAUUACACAGAACACCGAUUGCGAAGGCAGCUCACUAAACUAUCACUGACGCUGAGGCACGAAAGCGUGGGGAGCGAACAGGAUUAGAUACCCCCGUAGUC
rnacentral:rRNA from 1 species